CCUCCCCCGCCCUCCCUCUCUCUCCCACCUGACGUCAGUCAGUCUACUCUCUCAGUCUUUCUCAGUCACUGCAGGGUGCUGCUGUGUGCAGUUAGAAGGACCAUGGAUUUUCUGAUACUGCUAUCCUUGUGCCUAGUCAGCUGGAGAGGUAAAUGGAGAUCUAUUCUGUUAGAGGAGGGAUGGACAGAACCAUCAACACACUGUCUAUCUGUGCUCAGAUUAAUGAUUAUCAUAUAGUUAACCCUUAACUGUGAGGGACAUGCAACAUACAGCUUUGGGUGCCCACCACACUUUUACUAAAAAGGUGAAUUCUGAGUGGAGAUUUCAUUUACAGUAAGAAAAAAACCCCCACUGUGGUUUAAAUAGAAUGUAUUGAUUAUUUAAGCAUUAAGCUCUGUGUGAUGGGGGUUAUGUUCCCCCCAUAAAUCAGAUUUACAGGAGUUGUUUUAUUCAGCUACAUAAGGUAACUUUUGUAUUUGAAAGGAUUUAAGGGUCAUGGUAGACUUUUGCUGAGCUCAUGAAAUGUAAGAAGUUGUUUUCAGUGCUAAGCAUGGCAAUAUGUAGGUUCUUACAUCACAUAUCGGCAGUAGGAGGUGCGGUUAGAUGUAUAAAUGGACCAGAAGUGAUACAGGCAUCAGAUCAGGUUUAAGAUUUUGGCUACCAUUCGUUGUGUACCUUUGUGCGUGUUUUACGGGCAAUCAUUGAUAGGUUAGGCAUUAUGGUGAAUGCUGGUGCAGCGUUUCUAAACAUUUAAUUGGUUUCCAUGGUGACUGUUCCAACUAGGCUCCAGAAUUGUUCUUUUAAGUAAACACUACAUAGUGAUGUGUUUGACUGGGACUGUAUUUAUUACUGUAUAUGUGUUAGUACCCUUCUCUCUUAUGUAGCUAUCUAUGCACAAGUAUUUUCACUGUGUAUGUGAAUGUUUUUCAUAUUCACAAAUAUAAAUCUGAUUUGUAUGUCUAAUGAUCAUUUACAUCUACAAUUUCUAUGUUUCUAUGUACUACUUUUUUUAAGUCGUGCAAGCUUUGUCUGUAGUCUCAAUUUUUGCUAUUCUAGCGAGACAAAGGUUACCUGGAUUUACCUGUAAUUUUUUUUAAAUAAAGAUAAAACAUUUAUGAAUUAAAAUAUAUAAAAAAAACUUUUGAAAAAAUCACAUUCACUUAACUUUAGAAAGUUCUCAUGAAAUCAAGCAACUCCAGUGUACACCUGUCCUCUUAUGUUUAAGUAAUUGUUUGGGUGGUAUGGGGGGUUGAUUGUUGUCAUAUUUGCUCUUCUCUGUGUUUUUAUAAAGUUAUAUUUUAAACUAUGAUUUUGUGUUACCUGGGUAUAAAUAUAUGCUUUUCUCUCUUUGGCAGCCUGCAUGGUUCUUUAUGUUAUCACUCUGGGCUUUGCUGUUAGACAGUGUGUGAUUAUGAUCCUUCAUUGCUUUGUAAGUGAAUGUUAGCAAGUGGAAUGUUGUGACUGAUGCUGUGUAUGAUACAUGCACUGUGAAUGUGUGACAUCUUGGUUCAGUAAACUUUUUGGUUAUUCAUUUUGAUGGGUGUACCCCCCUGCUUCACCCCACCCUCUGUUACUUCUCCUUGUCCUUUCUUCUUCUGACACACUAGCCAAAUUGUCUAUCUUUUGACUUAUACUGAUGCAUAUUUAGAAAUUCCAAAAGGAUCUCCUUUUUCAUAAACUGGAUGCAACUGACCUCAUGUCGUUAUUCUCGACACGCCAUCAUUAUAAUAGGGAUUUAGUGACGCCAGCAUUCCCAACCCAAAUUCUCAUUUCAGUGUCCUCUUAUCGUAGAAUAGAUUCAAGGAGCACCCUUCCUUCCUCGUAUUACAGUCCUCAUUAUUCUGGUGUUAAAUGACGCUAUCUGCCCCCGCUGCCUGUGACCCCAGUAUAAUUAUAUAGGGGAUUCCAAUGUCCUCAUAAUACAAACAGCUCCAAUGUUCUCUAAAAUUAUGCAAACUCUUUCAGAGAUGCUAUUAUGAAAAGAAGUUCCCAUGUCCCCACUUUGUAAUGAGAGAUCCACCACUUUUUCUUAAAAGAAAGUAUUAUUAUUUCACUCUCAUUUAAGCACAGAAUUACAAGGUUCUCUAUGAAUUCUAUUCAAUAAACAGUUAUACGUUCCAACAGAUGUAGAGUCAUAAUGAGGGCACUUUUAAAAUGUUAUCACGCAGAAUACUCACAUCUAUAACCGUCUAUUCAUUUUGUUGAACUUGUAGACUCUUCUUCAGUUGUGCGGAUAAAACUCAAUUUAUUAACGUUGAGAUUAUUUGAAAAUUACUGUAAUAAUCACUUAAUAUGACCUUCAUAGAACAAAUUACAGUGCUAGUCUCUGUUGUCUUUCUCAGACAUAUACAUGCCCCACACCUGUUGAGAUAUCAUUCAUGUGCACGUAUAUUUAAAGUGACACUGCACACAAACUAGUGAACUCGCUCUCUUAGUAUAUUCCUUUAACUUCAAUAAUUAUGUAAUGUGCAUAAAAUAGUUGUAGAUCGCUGAUCCAGGAUUAAAAAAAUAUUAUUCAGAAAUGAUUCCUUUUUAUAAUGGGUUUUGGACAGUUAAAAUGGAAGCAGGUGGGCAACACAAUUUUCUUUUGAAAUGCCAAAUUGGCAUGAGAAAAAUGCCAUAAUAUAUUCAAAUUGAAACAAAAAGAGAAUCCCCACUUUUUGAAAAAAAAAAAAGAAUCCAUGUCAGAAUCUCAUCUAAAAUUGACUGAGCUCAAUUAAAUGAAAAUUUUGGAAGAAAUCUGCUCCCAGCUUAAUCAUGGAAGGUUUCCUCCAGAUUUUGCGCAAAAUCAUUUUUGAAAGCAGUAGGGUUCCAUGACAAUAGAAACCCCAGAGAUGCUCACAGAAUAUUUCAACAUGUGUAUAUAUAUAUAUGGAGUUUCCAUAUAAGGAAUAUCAACUUUAUAAUAUUUAUACAACCAAACUCGUCUACCGGAGAAUAAACUCCAGUGUUUUCUAUAAAGUCCCCAAGACAGGUGAAAAAACACAUUUCAGAUUGUAAUAAUGCCUAAUUGCUAGCUCGAAAUUUUAUAGCACAACCCCACAUCCCAAUUGAAAUCUUCUCCCCCUGUUUUUUUUUUUUUUUGUACAUUACUCUGUAGAACCCCAGUUUGUUGUUUAAAUAGACAACGUUAAAAGUGCUUUUUCACAAACAUGGUUCUGUUAGUCCUCUUCCGUCCAAGUGAUCCUCAUGCUGGUUAAACUAAUCUCUUCUAAGAACAUGUACACAUGGGUAAAAUGCCUCUACUGUAAUAUCCUCACGCAUGUUGCAUUUUACACAAGAGGUCCUUCUAUAAAUUGCGUAAUUCCACAAUAUAAUGCUGCAUUGUUAGUAAAAUCUAGACUUGAGAGUGGUGCAACAGUGCUUUAUGUUUUUUAUUUAAUGUUUUCUCUCUUAUUAUAUAGACCAGUGUUUAUUAGAUAUUAACAUUGGCUUGUUGACCCACUCUAAAAAAUGCAAAUUUAUCCAUUGCAGUGAGGCUAACAGUACUGCUGCAGUAAAUGUUUUAUUGUAUGGGGUUGCCCAGUACCCGAUAAAGAUUAUGUGGUUGUUGCAACCAGUGUUAACCUAUUGAAAAUAGAAUGUGGAUCCACUUUGGAUUCCGACCAAGGGAUACCACUGGUAUAGAAAGGAAUACUUAAUGUAUCCAUUUGUGGUGAUGCAGUUUUUUUAGCAAACUAAUCAGGGCUACUUUCUUCUACCAAUCAAAGCAGGCAGUUAUCAAAUGAUUAACUCUUAUCAAAGAGCACCAGAUUAAACUUUUUUUUUUCUGAGAUAUUAUCAAGGAAAAGAGCAAAUAGGAUACAGCACCUUAGUUAUUGUUAUCUCUGAUGUAAAUGGUGUUCUUUUAAGUUAAAGUUCAACUUUCAAUGAUAAUCCACAAUAUCUAAAAUGAUACACGUUCGUUGUUCCCAGAGAUGUUACUGGUUGGUGCAAACUUUGAACAUGCCUGAGUCCCGGAGGUUCUUGGCCAUUGGUCCCAUGUUUUCCUUAUGAUUUAGCGUUGUGGAGCAGGAGAAUGGAGAGAGGUUCCUUCCUCUCUGGCAUUCACUAGUCCAGACAGAAGAUGCUCUGCUAUGACAUAAUCCCCUCCGCCUUAGUCUCUACCAGCUAAUAGCUGUUAAAGAAUGCAGAUACUGAUCUCUACCACAUGGAGCACAGACCGUGUAGAUUCCAAAAGUUAUGUACAGUAAGUAGGAUUGGGGUAUUUCUAGUCAAACUGCAGUGAGGUUCUCAAAAUAUGUUUGCUCUGCUACCUUUUAAUCUCAUAAUAUCACUGUGUACUUAUGUCGCAGAAAGACAAAAAAUAGAGGUUCUGCGCAUCAAGUAGGUAGUGCACACCCAGGUGCUACUGCAGUUUAUUAGGGGACACAAUAUAAACAAACGUUUCGGGUAACAAGCCCUUCCUGGGGACAUUAGCACUGAGGAAGGACUUGUUGCCCGAAACGUUUGUUUAUAUUGUGUCAUCUAAUAAACUGCAGUAGCACCAGGGUGUGCACUACCUACUUGAUGCGCAGAACUCCAUUUUUGUCUAUCUGCUUGUUACACUGUUGGAACUACAGUAAGGAGACCCUGCAGCUCGGAUUUAACUGUUCAUUUCUGUGUUCUUUAUCUUUGAUAAUCGGUGGGCAUCAUUGAUGCCUCUGUCUCAUCCUAUGCAUAGUGUACUUAUGGCGCAUUUGAAUUAGAACAUACAAAAUGUAUAUUCAGCUAUGCAGACCAUAGAAUAAUCUUUGUUUUCCCAAUGUCUUCAAUAACGAUGUAAGUAAUUAUAAAAAUAUGUAUUGUAAGUGGAAAUACACAAAUAAAAAACAGAAAAAAACUUAAACGGACUGUCUAAGCAUCAAAACCACAUCACCCUAAUGCAGUGAUUUUGGGGCAUAGAUGCUGCCUCUGCAGCAUUGCAAAUGAAAACACUGUUAAAGGGAAUCUAUAUAUCUAUAUUGUUAGCGUUACACAAAUCUUUACUCCCCACUCCCCCUCCGGAGCUAAAAUGAUAAAAAAAAUCCUUUUGUUACUUACUUGAUUUUAGCGAUGUUGUUUGUGGUGCUAGGUCAGCGCUCCGUUUCCUCCAAGUGCCACGAGGACAUUAGACCCUCCCCAUGGGGAUUUUACUAAUGCUGGACGUCCAACAUCAGUUAGGUGACCGAGAGUCAAUUAGCAACCUGGAAGCACCUCUAGUGCUUGUUUUUAGUAUGGCUUUUACUGUAGGAAAGCAUUGAAUCAAUUCUGUCCUUUGGUGAUUUUCAAGAUGCUGGAUGUCCUCAUUUAAAGCGUGAGGACAGCCAGUGUCAUUUUUUUGAGUUCAAUUCCAUGUGAAUCAAGUAAGCGCCUCUAAUGGCUGUCUGGUAGACAGCUACUAGAGACAGUCUUGAAACUGCAGUGUUAACAUUGCAGUUUCUCAAAAAUUGCAAUGAUUUACAUUGCAGGACUAAGUGGGACUGGGACACUGAACACCCAGACCACUUCAAUGAGCUAAAGUGGUCUGGGUGACUAUCGUGUCCCUUUAAAAUGUAGACAGCCACUGGGGGUGGGUUCCAGACUUAACUAGGUGAUUUGUUUUAUUUUAUAUGAUGUCUGGAAGUGUGCCUUUAAAAGUGGAAGUUUUUAUUUUCUACAAUUCUUUUUUUUUAUAUAUUAGUAGAAAUAGUUAAAUGUAUCACUGUCUUUUGUUUGCAAUUUGAGAUUUAUUGGAUUUCAUUCACAAUUUCUUACUGCAAGGCCAUAAAUUAUACAAGUUAUACUUGCUCCAACAAGUGAAAUGUUUUGCUAAUUGUUAAAAAUGUACAAAUUAUGAUAUCAUUUUGAUUGAAUUUUGCAUUUACUAUUUCAAUAUGCAGUUAGCAGUCCAUUUAUUAAUAUAAUAUUUGGUUUUAAAGUAGUAAAGCAGUUGUUUUUUUUGUAGGAAACAUGAUCAUUUUUUUUAAAAUAAAGGGGGACAUUCACUGGUGAAACGCAAGUGGUGCAGUGGAUAACAAUGGGUCUUUCAAUGUCAGUUCCUUACUUAUAGAGCCCUGCAUUCUCUGGUUUCAGAGGCUGCUGCAGGGACUCUGCAACUUGAAGUUUGGCACAGUAUAUAUUUACAGCGCUUUGAAAGUUUUGGUAUCUGAAAGACACGAGGGCUGCUUUUAGCAACAGUUAACACAUACAUCCAGAAAAACAGCUGCAGCAUUGCUUGAAACAUUGGUUUUGUCUUCUCUGGAAUCAUGUUAAGGUCAACAUUGCUUGAUAGAAAACAACCCUUUCAAAACAAAUAUUUAAAAUAAGUAAGGUCAAAUAAUUUUUUAAUCAUGGUAGCGCUCCCUGUUUGCCAUUUUGUGUGUUUAUUACAUUAUUUGGGAACUUCAAAAGAUGUGUGACAAAGAGUCCCUAGGACUUUUGUGACCUCUUCGAAUUUUGGAUUGUGUCCAGAUUCCCAAGCUUACUUAGUCCACAUGGAUGUGUCUCCAAUUUGCCUAGGAGACUAUGUACUAGAACUUUUUAGGUUCAAGGUGCCCUUAAUAUAUCAAUAUUUUUCCAAGGCACCCCAAGUCAAAAAAUGUUCUAGGUUGUAUAUAUGUACAGCGCUGCGGCAUAUACUGGGCCCCUAAUCUUGGGAGUGGCACUGCUGUAUUAUUUAAAGAAACAAACCAGGCACAAUAAACACUACAUUAUGUUGUAGUGGUUAUGGUGCCAGUAGUGCCCUCCCAGGGUAAGUAGUCAAACUGUUUAAGAACCGUUUGACAACUUACCUGGGGUCUGCCGGGAUAGGGGCUGUAGUGUGUGUGUGGCGGGGGGGGGUGCAAUAUGUGUGUGUGAGGGGUGAAAUAUUGGUGCGUGAGUGGUGGAGUAUGUGUGAGGGUUGCAGUGUGCAUGUGUGUGAGGGGUGCGUGUGCGUGCACAGGGGUGCAGUGUGCCUGUGUGUGUAAGGGACGCAGUGUGUGUACAGGGGUGCAUUGUGUUUGUGAAGGAUGUAGUUUGUGUGUGUAUGUGGGGCAGUUUGUGCAAGAGGGGUACAGUGUGUGUGUGAGGGGUACAGUGUGUGGGGGGCAGGUUGUGUGAGGGGUACGGUGUGUGUGUACAGGUGGGGCAGUGUGUGUGUAUGGGGGUAAUUGUGUAUUUGGGGGGUAAUUGUGUGCAUGGGGGGUUAAUUGUGUGCAUUGGGGGUUAAUUGUGUGUAUGGGGGGUUAGUGUAGGUGUAUGGGGGGCAGUGUGUGUGUAUGAGGGGGUAAUUGUGUGUAUGCGGGGUAGUGUGUGUGUAUGGGGAAGCUAUUGUGGGGUCUGUGGGGGUAGGACGUCAAAUUAAUAAAGUUAUACUUUCACUUUUUUUUUUAAAUAAAAAUGAUAUCCCCCCCCCCUCCCUGCUUACCUUUGCCUGGGAUGGGGGACAUUUCCUGUAAUCCGUGGUGGUCCUGGUGGUGACAGUGAACUCUAGAAGCCUCAGGAGCUGCUAGAGUUAAAACUUGCGAGAUUGUAACUGUGGUAACCGCUGCAACGCUCUGAGCUCGCGAGAGGAGAACCUGGCGGAGCUGCAAGUUAGAGCUCCCCCGGGUCCUCUCUCCCUCCCCUGCUGGCUGUCAGCAAAGUGCUAGCGGGCCGGUGAGGGAGAUCUCUGAUAAUAGCACCGAGAAAAUAUCUUUCGGCUAGGGCGCAACGGCACACAGUUUGGGAACUGCUCUAAUAGAAGUUUAUUAUUUUUAUAGAGUGGUGUUUCCCAACCACAUCCUCAAGGAUUUCAAACAGUUGGGGAUUUCGGGAUUUCCCUGUUCUGUUCCAGAUCUGAUACAGAUCUGUUUUUAUAUGUCAGUUAUAUACUGAUAUUUGAGAAUUCCGUACAUAUAUGUAUAUGUGUACAUACCUGCUUGUAACAUGCCUCCCAACAUCAGCACACUGUAAAUCAGGACAAUGGUGGACACUGGCGGGAGAGGAAAAGGGGAGGCAGAUCAGUGAUGUGGUUGCAUGACUAGCGCUACACACUUUUAGGGACAUCUGGGAUCAAAGUUGGGACAGGACCUAAAAAUCGUGAUUGUCCUGCUGAAAGUUGGAUAAUUUGAGGCCUGUUGCAAUGUGUUUAAAUCUUUGGCAACAGUGAGUGUAUGCAGAUGUGUACAAGCAUGCAGGGCUAAAGGAUCACUAUAGGCACCCAGACCAUUUUAUCUUGAUGACGUGGUCAGGAGGCAUUGGCCCUUUAGUUUCAAUCCUGCAAUCUAAAACAUUGACAGUGUUUUUAAAUACACCUUUAGUGACCGUGGUGCUAACUGUUAGGAGAGGGUACUUCCGUGGCAAUGACCCAGUUUGAUUCAGAUAUCUGACGUUCGACGUUGAACGUCAUCAAAUGCUGAUCAUAAUGAUAUAUUGGAUACACUGCUUCCCUAUGAGAAGCAUUGAUUGGGCCAUGUGCUUCUCGUCCCCAAAACUUCUGCUAGUGCUGCCAAGGACAAAUAGUCAGAAAAGCAUUUAUCAAUAGGUGUUAGCUAUCAAAUGUAAUAAGUAAAUUUAAUGAUUGCUAUGGGCCCGCUAAAUCGGAUUGAGUUGCUAAAACCUAUAUAUAUCUAAUGUAAUUGGAUUUGUAAUUUUAACAGGAAUAACAUUGGUCCUGACUGUGAAGUUCCAGUAGCCAAUAAACUCCUGAUAAAACAUACCUGCUGGAAUGUAAUCAAGGCCAUUGUUAUAUAUAAACAGAGAAACUUUGGGGAAAAGUUCUAAAAGUGAAGCAAAUAGAAUGGACAUUCCAUAACAUUCAUUGUUAAUUGCUCCACUUACGGUGCUUUGACCCUGAAUCAUUCUUUAUGCACAGCUUGCCAUGUUUUAUUGACUAUUUAAUGUUGGUUUCAAGGCUUAUGGUUUCAUGGACUCAUGAAGUUCAUUUACAAAAUUCUUAGGUAAUUAUGUACUGCUAAACAAUGGAAAAACACAUAGUGCUGGCAUUAAGGAUGUCAAGUUAGCUUCAUUUUCUUUGAUUAAUUACUUUUUCGGUAUGGUUUUUUUUAUUUAACACAGGUUUUAGGUGUAUAGUUAUGCUUUUCAUGAAACCAUCUGUUUUUUUAAUUACUGUUUAAAGGAACACUCUGGCUUAAAUAAAUACAUGUAUUUACAGUCAGGUACAUAAAUAUUGGGACAAUAGUAAUCUUUUUGGCUCCAUACACCACCACAAUGGAUUUGAAAUGAAAUGAACAAGAUGUGCUUUAACUGCAGACUUUCAGCUUUAAUUUGAGGGUAUUUACAUCCAAAUCAGGUGAACGGUGUAGGAAUUACAACAGUUUAAAGGCUCAUUAAAGGCUCUGUAAGGGACAUUAAAAGGCUCUGUCAGGGGCAUUGAAAGACUCUGUAAGGGGAAUUUAAAUUCUCUGUUAGGGACAUUAAAAGGCUCCCUAAGGGACAUUAAAUGGCUCUAUAGGCACCCAGACCACUUCAGCUUAAUAGAGAAACUGCUAUGUUUAUAAUAGGGUUAAUCCAGCCUCUAGUGGCUGUCUCAUUGACAGCCGCUAGAGGGCUUCCGUGCUUCUCACUGUGAUUUUCACAGUGAGAAGAUGCCAGCGUCCAUAGGAAAGCAUUGUGAAUGCUUUCUUAUGGACUGGCUGAAUGCUCUUGCGCAUUCAGCCGGUGAUGGAAAAAGAGGGAGGAGAGGAGGAGAGCUCCCUGCCCAGCGCUGGUUUAACCCCUUCCUCCCCCCCCCCCCCAGAGCCCGGCGGGAGGGGGUCCCUGAGGGUGGGACCGCAAGUGCCAGAAAUGAAGAUUGUCCUGAAGCACAAUGCAUACUUUGCAAUAAAAUAUUGCCAAACAGUUCAUUACCACCUGCUAAAUGAUGUCGCCAUUUUGAGCAAAACCAUGCAGAGUACAAAAAUAAAGACAUUGACUUCUUUAAGCGAAAGCUAAAGGAGUAUCGUAAGAGUAAACAAUAUAUGAGCAAAAAAAUGUAAAAUGCCAAUGAAAAAGCCAUAGAGGCUUCUUACAGAGUGAGUUGCACUUGCAGGAGAAGCACACACAAUUGGGGAAUCACUAAUUAAACCAUGUGCAAAAGAAAUCGUAUAUAUUUUAAGUGAGAAGUUGAGUAAAAAAAUUCAAGCUGUACCCCUUCCUAACAACACAGUUUUGCACCGUAUGCAUGAUCUUGCUGAUGACAUCCAUACUGAACUAAUUUCUCGACUGCAUCAAUGUGAUGGGUACUCACUUCAAUUAGACAAGUCCACAGAUAUUGCAGGACUUUUAGUUUUGUUAGUUUUUGUUAGAUAUAAUUUUGACAAACAGAUUGAAGACGACUUGCUUUUGUGUGAAAGUUUGAAAACUCAUACCACUGGUGAAAACAUCUUUUUUUUUUUUUUUUAUAGUUCUUUAUUUUUGUGCAAUUAUUGACAAAGCAGCGUGCAGAGGUAUAGUAAAAAAUAUGUUGUGCUUUCGUCAGGCUAAGGGAGCGUUUGCAUGCUGUGCGAGGUCUGAGCCCAUGGGCCCGAGAUGUGGGUUGUGCGGUCGCUAGUGUAUGCAAGCAGGUUUAAAGCCCCUGACCAAGGGGAUUGCGGGGGGGGAGGAGUAUUAUCCGCUACUUAAUGUGGACUCAAUAUCCGCCGUCUCACCAACGUGUUCGUGUAUUAGGCCUGUACCUUACUGAGCCUAGGUAGGUAAACAUUUGGUAAACGUGUAACGAAACAAUCAAGGAAACUUUUAGUAGUGUGUGGACAAAAGUCUAGUCUGGUCUAGCUUGUCAUUUGGGGUUGUCUGUCUCCUGACGGUUCGCUACUCUGGGGACGAUUGGUGUUAUGGAGGCCGGGUCCCAUGUUGCCGCCAGUGUUCCAGAGGUGGCGGGUGUGUCCGGGGGUGAGAGUCCCAGGGUCUCCAGGAAGGUUGAUGCUUCUUUCAUGGAAGGCAAAGUGUGCACUGUCCCGCCUUGGGUCACUGCUAGAGAGCCGUUCCACCCCCAUCGAUAGGUCAGUCCUGCAGCUCGCAGCAUUGUCGUGACCGGGCUAAACGAUUUGCAGAGUAGGUGCGUGGACCGUGUCAGAUUUUGGAAGAAGGCAAGGUUCGAGUUUUCAAAGGUGAGUGGCGUUUUGCCCUUUAGCGCUGACAUUAUUUGGAAUUUGUCAGGUGGACUGGAGGUGAGAGGGGUGUGGAAGACGGUAGACACUGUCAAUUGCCACCUUCUUGGCCACUGCAUGUGGCAGGAUUGUGUCCAGCAUUCUCCUGAUGUAAUGAGGCAGUUCCUCCGUGUAAUCGUUGCGGGGAUGCCCCUAAUCUUGAUGUGGGUGCUUCUUUGGCGGUCUUCCAGUGUGGUAAGCUUAAGUGACAUAGAUUGUUGUUGUGUUUGCAGUGUUUUUAUAGUGUCCGCCAUAGUGGAGAGAUGGGAUUGUACCUUUGUUAAGGUAUUUUCGUUGGUUCUGAUUCUCUCCGAUACUGCCCGUACUUCCGUUUUGAGGAUGGCCAAGUCGGCCGCCAGCAUCUUGUGAAUUUCGGCUAGCAAGAGUUUUAGGUCCUUUUUGGUGGUUGGUGCUGAGUCAUCGGAUGGUUCUUGUGACCCAGCGGAGGAUGUUGGUGAGUGUCGCGGGCCUUCAGGUCCGUGUUGUCAUGGUGCCGCAUCCUGAUCCUUGUUGGGAAUGUCGCUUGUGGUAGAGGGCUUAGUUUGUGCCGGCCGUUGGAACAUAGCUCCUAUGUCUCUGCCUUCUGCUGGGGUGUGCGACUCUUGGGAGCGCCUGCCCAUGCCCGGCAUAAUUGUCGGCGAAGUAGACGGUGUUAGGGUAUAAGGCGUCUCAGCACUGUUUGUUGCGGUGCCUUCCAGGAGACUCUCCAGGCCUUGCAGCAUGCGUUAGGCCCCGGUUUUGUGUUUCUGUCUUGCUGAGUUUGGUGGUUGAAAGAAAGGCAUCGAUCGAUGCUACUUGCCCUUCUGGUCCUGGUCGUGCUUGUGUGGUGGCUGGAUUGGGCUCAGUUCUGCUGAUAUCUGCAGGAUUAUGUAUUUAUUUUAGUGAGCUUUGAGAAAUGGCGUCUGGUCAGGAUGCUUGGUAAGCUCCGCCCCCUGGCGGUGAGAACAUCUUUAACUGUAUCCAGAAGUUCAUGAACACACAGUAUAAAUUGGGACAAAUGUGUAGAUGUGUGCAGUGAUGGUGCCAAAACAAUGGUUGAGAAAGUGGCAGGUGCUGUGACACGAAUAAGAAAUGUAGCAAAAAAACACCAUCAGUUCUGAAUGUGUUCUUCACAGACAUGCAAAGGUAGCUAAAAAUAUUUCAAUCUCAUUUAAAAUUGUACUAGGUGAAUUUGUCCAGAUUAUUAAUUUUAUAAAAAGCCGACCAUUACAGUCACGACUAUUUAAAAUUAUAUGUGAAGAUAUGGGUAGUCACCACUCUGCUCUGCUUUUGCAUUCAGAAGUCCGUUGGCUAUCACGAGGUAAAGUCUUUGUUAGAAUGUUUGAAUUGAGUCAAGAGUUGUCUGCAUAUUUCCAGGAUUGUAAAUUUGGAUUAUCUGAUCGAUUAACAAACAUUCUGUGGUUAUCCAAAGUAGCAUAUCUUGCAGACAUAUUCACAAAAUUAAAUGACGUAUGUUUAUCACUCCAAGGAAAAAACACUAAUAUUUUUAAUGCAUGAGAUGAAAUAUUUUCACUGUCUCGUAAGUUUUGGACCUCAUCCGUUGAGCAAAAUAAUUUGAACCCUUUGCCAACUUCGCCAGGGCUACAUUUUCUCCACAUCCAAGAUGGCUGCCGCUACCUGCUCUUCCCGUAAGGUCAGAAACAGAAGAGAUCACGGGAGCGCGAUCUUAAGCCCAUCCUGCGAUCAGCCCUGCCACUCGCCCUGCCAUCAGCCAGCCACUUAGACUUAGUUCGUCCAUGAGAGAGCCUGCCCAGCUGCCAGCCAGCCCACCCAGCCCACCCAGCCGUCAGCAAGCCCGCCCAGCAGUCAGCCGUCAGCCAUUUGCUAUCUCUCGUGGUAGAGGAGUGAUAGAGAGUGGAACUGAUAGUUCAAGCUCUGUUAUUGUCAUAAAUAGAAAGCUCUGUUAGGUAGGGACAUAGAAAUCUCUGUUAGGUAGAGACAUAGAAAGCUCUGUUAGGUAGGGACAUUGAAAGACUCUGUUAGGGACAUUGAAAGACUCUGUCGGGGCAUUGCAAUUCUCUGCUAGGGACAUUAAAAGGCUCUGUAAGGGACAUUAAAAGGCUCUGUCAGGGGCAUUGAAAGACUCCGUCAGGGGCAUUGAAAUUCUCUGCUAGGGACAUUAAAAGGCUCUGUCAGGUGCAUUCAAAGACUCUGUCAGGGGCAUUGAAAUUCUCUGCUAGGGACAUUAAAAGGCUCUGUAAGGGACAUUAAAAGGCUCUGUCAGUAGCAUUGCAAUUCUCUGUUAGGGACAUUAAAAGGCUCUGUAAGGGACAUUAAAAGGCUUUCUCUGGGGCAUUGAAAGACUGUCAGGGGCAUUGAAAUUCUCUGCUAGGGAUAUUAAGAGGCUCUGUAAAGGACAUUAAAAGGCUCUGUCAAGGGCAUUGAAAGACUCUGUCAGGGGCAUUGAAAUUCUCUGCUUGGGCCAUUAAAAGGCUCUGUAAGGGACAUUAAAAGGCUCUGUCAGGGGCAUUGAAAUUCUCUGCUAGGGACAUUUAAAGGCUCUGUAAGGGACAUUAAAAGGCUCUGUCAGGGGCAUUGAAAGACUCUGUAAGGGGAAUUGAAAUUCUCUGUUAGGGACAUUAAAAGGCUCCGUAAGGGACAUUAAAAGGUUCUAUAGGCACCCAGACCACUUCAGCUUAAUGAAGUGGUCUGGGUGCCAGGUCCAGCUAGGUUUAACCCUUUUUUUAUAAACAUUGCAGUUUCAGAUAAACUGCUAUGUUUAUAAUAGGGUUAAUCCAGCCUCUAGUGGCUGUCUCAUUGACAGUCGCUAGAGGGCUUCCGUGCUUCUCACUGUGAUUUUCACAGUGAGAAGAUGCCAGCGUCCAUAGAUAAGCAUUGUGAAUACUUUCCUAUGUACUGGCUGAAUGCACGCGCGCAUUCAGCCGGUGACGGAAGGAGAGGGAGGACAGGAGGAGGAGAGCUCCCUGCCUGGCGCUGGAGAAAGAGGUAAGUUUAACCCCUUCCUCCCCCCCAGAGCCCGGCGGGAGGGGGUCCCUGAGGGUGGGACCACAAGUGCCAGAAAUGAAGAUUGUCCUGAAGCACAAUGCGUACUUUGCAAUAAAAUAUUGCCAAACAGUUCAUUACCACCUGCUAAAUGAUGUCGCCAUUUUGAGCAAAACCACACAGAGUACAAAAAUAAAGACAUUGACUUCUUUAAGCGAAAGGUAAAGGAGUAUCGUAAGAGUAAACAAUAUAUGAGCAAAAAAAUGUAAAAUGCCAAUGAAAAAGCCAUAGAGGCUUCUUACAGAGUGAGUUGCCGCAUAGCACUUGCAGGAGAAGCACAAACAAUUGGGGAAUCACUAAUGAAACCAUGUGCAAAAGAAAUCGUAUAUAUUUUAAGUGAGAAGUUGAGUAAAAAAAAUUCAAGCUGUGCCCCUUCCUAACAACACAGUUUUGCACCGUAUGCAUGAUCUUGCUGAUGACAUCCAUACUGAACUAAUUUCUCGACUGCAUCAAUGUGAUGGGUACUCACUUCAAUUAGACAAGUCCACAGAUAUUGCAGGACUUUUAGUUUUGUUAGUUUUUGUUAGAUAUAAUUUUGACAAACAGAUUGAAGACGACUUGCUUUUGUGUGAAAGUUUGAAAACUCAUACCACUGGUGAAAACAUCUUUUUUUUUUUUUUUUAUAGUUCUUUAUUUUUGUGCAAUUAUUGACAAAGCAGCGUGCAGAGGUAUAGUAAAAAAUAUGUUGUGCUUUCGUCAGGCUAAGGGAGCGUUUGCAUGCUGUGCGAGGUCUGAGCCCAUGGGCCCGAGAUGUGGGUUGUGCGGUCGCUAGUGUAUGCAAGCAGGUUUAAAGCCCCUGACCAAGGGGAUUGCGGGGGGGGAGGAGUAUUAUCCGCUACUUAAUGUGGACUCAAUAUCCGCCGUCUCACCAACGUGUUCGUGUAUUAGGCCUGUACCUUACUGAGCCUAGGUAGGUAAACAUUUGGUAAACGUGUAACGAAACAAUCAAGGAAACUUUUAGUAGUGUGUGGACAAAAGUCUAGUCUGGUCUAGCUUGUCAUUUGGGGUUGUCUGUCUCCUGACGGUUCGCUACUCUGGGGACGAUUGGUGUUAUGGAGGCCGGGUCCCAUGUUGCCGCCAGUGUUCCAGAGGUGGCGGGUGUGUCCGGGGGUGAGAGUCCCAGGGUCUCCAGGAAGGUUGAUGCUUCUUUCAUGGAAGGCAAAGUGUGCACUGUCCCGCCUUGGGUCACUGCUAGAGAGCCGUUCCACCCCCAUCGAUAGGUCAGUCCUGCAGCUCGCAGCAUUGUCGUGACCGGGCUAAACGAUUUGCAGAGUAGGUGCGUGGACCGUGUCAGAUUUUGGAAGAAGGCAAGGUUCGAGUUUUCAAAGGUGAGUGGCGUUUUGCCCUUUAGCGCUGACAUUAUUUGGAAUUUGUCAGGUGGACUGGAGGUGAGAGGGGUGUGGAAGACGGUAGACACUGUCAAUUGCCACCUUCUUGGCCACUGCAUGUGGCAGGAUUGUGUCCAGCAUUCUCCUGAUGUAAUGAGGCAGUUCCUCCGUGUAAUCGUUGCGGGGAUGCCCCUAAUCUUGAUGUGGGUGCUUCUUUGGCGGUCUUCCAGUGUGGUAAGCUUAAGUGACAUAGAUUGUUGUUGUGUUUGCAGUGUUUUUAUAGUGUCCGCCAUAGUGGAGAGAUGGGAUUGUACCUUUGUUAAGGUAUUUUCGUUGGUUCUGAUUCUCUCCGAUACUGCCCGUACUUCCGUUUUGAGGAUGGCCAAGUCGGCCGCCAGCAUCUUGUGAAUUUCGGCUAGCAAGAGUUUUAGGUCCUUUUUGGUGGUUGGUGCUGAGUCAUCGGAUGGUUCUUGUGACCCAGCGGAGGAUGUUGGUGAGUGUCGCGGGCCUUCAGGUCCGUGUUGUCAUGGUGCCGCAUCCUGAUCCUUGUUGGGAAUGUCGCUUGUGGUAGAGGGCUUAGUUUGUGCCGGCCGUUGGAACAUAGCUCCUAUGUCUCUGCCUUCUGCUGGGGUGUGCGACUCUUGGGAGCGCCUGCCCAUGCCCGGCAUAAUUGUCGGCGAAGUAGACGGUGUUAGGGUAUAAGGCGUCUCAGCACUGUUUGUUGCGGUGCCUUCCAGGAGACUCUCCAGGCCUUGCAGCAUGCGUUAGGCCCCGGUUUUGUGUUUCUGUCUUGCUGAGUUUGGUGGUUGAAAGAAAGGCAUCGAUCGAUGCUACUUGCCCUUCUGGUCCUGGUCGUGCUUGUGUGGUGGCUGGAUUGGGCUCAGUUCUGCUGAUAUCUGCAGGAUUAUGUAUUUAUUUUAGUGAGCUUUGAGAAAUGGCGUCUGGUCAGGAUGCUUGGUAAGCUCCGCCCCCUGGCGGUGAGAACAUCUUUAACUGUAUCCAGAAGUUCAUGAACACACAGUAUAAAUUGGGACAAAUGUGUAGAUGUGUGCAGUGAUGGUGCCAAAACAAUGGUUGAGAAAGUGGCAGGUGCUGUGACACGAAUAAGAAAUGUAGCAAAAAAACACCAUCAGUUCUGAAUGUGUUCUUCACAGACAUGCAAAGGUAGCUAAAAAUAUUUCAAUCUCAUUUAAAAUUGUACUAGGUGAAUUUGUCCAGAUUAUUAAUUUUAUAAAAAGCCGACCAUUACAGUCACGACUAUUUAAAAUUAUAUGUGAAGAUAUGGGUAGUCACCACUCUGCUCUGCUUUUGCAUUCAGAAGUCCGUUGGCUAUCACGAGGUAAAGUCUUUGUUAGAAUGUUUGAAUUGAGUCAAGAGUUGUCUGCAUAUUUCCAGGAUUGUAAAUUUGGAUUAUCUGAUCGAUUAACAAACAUUCUGUGGUUAUCCAAAGUAGCAUAUCUUGCAGACAUAUUCACAAAAUUAAAUGACGUAUGUUUAUCACUCCAAGGAAAAAACACUAAUAUUUUUAAUGCAUGAGAUGAAAUAUUUUCACUGUCUCGUAAGUUUUGGACCUCAUCCGUUGAGCAAAAUAAUUUGAACCCUUUGCCAACUUCGCCAGGGCUACAUUUUCUCCACAUCCAAGAUGGCUGCCGCUACCUGCUCUUCCCGUAAGGUCAGAAACAGAAGAGAUCACGGGAGCGCGAUCUUAAGCCCAUCCUGCGAUCAGCCCUGCCACUCGCCCUGCCAUCAGCCAGCCACUUAGACUUAGUUCGUCCAUGAGAGAGCCUGCCCAGCUGCCAGCCAGCCCACCCAGCCCACCCAGCCGUCAGCAAGCCCGCCCAGCAGUCAGCCGUCAGCCAUUUGCUAUCUCUCGUGGUAGAGGAGUGAUAGAGAGUGGAACUGAUAGUUCAAGCUCUGUUAUUGUCAUAAAUAGAAAGCUCUGUUAGGUAGGGACAUAGAAAUCUCUGUUAGGUAGAGACAUAGAAAGCUCUGUUAGGUAGGGACAUUGAAAGACUCUGUUAGGGACAUUGAAAGACUCUGUCGGGGCAUUGCAAUUCUCUGCUAGGGACAUUAAAAGGCUCUGUAAGGGACAUUAAAAGGCUCUGUCAGGGGCAUUGAAAGACUCCGUCAGGGGCAUUGAAAUUCUCUGCUAGGGACAUUAAAAGGCUCUGUCAGGUGCAUUCAAAGACUCUGUCAGGGGCAUUGAAAUUCUCUGCUAGGGACAUUAAAAGGCUCUGUAAGGGACAUUAAAAGGCUCUGUCAGUAGCAUUGCAAUUCUCUGUUAGGGACAUUAAAAGGCUCUGUAAGGGACAUUAAAAGGCUUUCUCUGGGGCAUUGAAAGACUGUCAGGGGCAUUGAAAUUCUCUGCUAGGGAUAUUAAGAGGCUCUGUAAAGGACAUUAAAAGGCUCUGUAAAGGGCAUUGAAAGACUCUGUCAGGGGCAUUGAAAUUCUCUGCUUGGGCCAUUAAAAGGCUCUGUAAGGGACAUUAAAAGGCUCUGUCAGGGGCAUUGAAAUUCUCUGCUAGGGACAUUUAAAGGCUCUGUAAGGGACAUUAAAAGGCUCUGUCAGGGGCAUUGAAAGACUCUGUAAGGGGAAUUGAAAUUCUCUGUUAGGGACAUUAAAAGGCUCCGUAAGGGACAUUAAAAGGUUCUAUAGGCACCCAGACCACUUCAGCUUAAUGAAGUGGUCUGGGUGCCAGGUCCAGCUAGGUUUAACCCUUUUUUUAUAAACAUUGCAGUUUCAGAUAAACUGCUAUGUUUAUAAUAGGGUUAAUCCAGCCUCUAGUGGCUGUCUCAUUGACAGUCGCUAGAGGGCUUCCGUGCUUCUCACUGUGAUUUUCACAGUGAGAAGAUGCCAGCGUCCAUAGAUAAGCAUUGUGAAUGCUUUCCUAUGUACUGGCUGAAUGCACGCGCGCAUUCAGCCGGUGACGGAAGGAGAGGGAGGACAGGAGGAGGAGAGCUCCCUGCCUGGCGCUGGAGAAAGAGGUAAGUUUAACCCCUUCCUCCCCCCCAGAGCCCGGCGGGAGGGGGUCCCUGAGGGUGGGACCACAAGUGCCAGAAAUGAAGAUUGUCCUGAAGCACAAUGCGUACUUUGCAAUAAAAUAUUGCCAAACAGUUCAUUACCACCUGCUAAAUGAUGUCGCCAUUUUGAGCAAAACCACACAGAGUACAAAAAUAAAGACAUUGACUUCUUUAAGCGAAAGGUAAAGGAGUAUCGUAAGAGUAAACAAUAUAUGAGCAAAAAAAUGUAAAAUGCCAAUGAAAAAGCCAUAGAGGCUUCUUACAGAGUGAGUUGCCGCAUAGCACUUGCAGGAGAAGCACAAACAAUUGGGGAAUCACUAAUGAAACCAUGUGCAAAAGAAAUCGUAUAUAUUUUAAGUGAGAAGUUGAGUAAAAAAAAUUCAAGCUGUGCCCCUUCCUAACAACACAGUUUUGCACCGUAUGCAUGAUCUUGCUGAUGACAUCCAUACUGAACUAAUUUCUCGACUGCAUCAAUGUGAUGGGUACUCACUGCAAUUAAACAAGUCCACAGAUAUUGCAGGACUUUUAGUUUUGAUGGUUUUUGUUAGAUAUAAAGACAAAGUAUCGAAAUCGACUUGACUCAACUGCAGACAUGCAAAUACAAUUGUCAACAAUUAAGCCAGAUAUAAAAUGAAUUUGCCAGAAAAGAGAACAUUACACUCAUUGAAAGGUUUACGCUGCAUAUUCUACGGCACACAUUUUUUUGUUGGGGCUCCAAAGUUUUGCUAAACCAUGUCAAAGGGUUCCACGGGAAAAAUGUAUUGGAAAACCCUGGCCUAGUGGCAAGUGGAAAUGUGGAGCCCUGCUGUGUGUGGCAUUAUAUUUGCAAAUGUAAUUAUAUUUGUAUGUUGGUUUUCCUAUGUGUGCAAUAUUAGUAUGUGUGUAUGUAUGUGUUUCUAUGUGUGAAAUGUAGGAGAAAAAUUAGGGCAUUAGCCACCAUGACUAAAGUAGUAGCAUGCAGUUCUGAAGCGCAAAUCCUAUUAUGUUCAGCCAGUCUCUAGGCCUUCCAAAUGUUUGCAAAUUGCAAUUCACAUGAAGCCCAACAAGACUUACAUGUUGGCUGAGCAUUAAGAUUAUUGCGUAACUUGCAAUGGUGCCAUUGCCGCAGGAUGUCCAGUAGCUAUAGGGUGGAGGGGAAAGUGGGUUAAAUUUACCCAAAUCUGUCCAAUGUGGACACCACCGUUCUAUUCUGCCUGGUUUUCUUCACCUCCUGCCACUAAAGCUGAUUUCAGUGAUGUAUCCUUGCACAUCAUAAGAUAUGACAAAGCUGGACUGCACUUUUAUGUCAAGAGGAGGAAAAAUACUAAGACAAGUAGUUCCUACUUUAUCUUAGUAUAUUUUUUGACUAAAGAUUUUGUCUUUAUGAAAUACUCGUUUUGGAUGGGGGUGUCAGAGCUGCUUUAACAUACCUUAGUCUAUCUCCUCAAUUCUCUCCCAACCCGCCAGCUAUUUCCCCAAAGUCCACCCUGGUCGAUUUAAUAUUGUUCGGUAAUCUUUACAAAUAAUUCAAUAUUUUUGGAUACAUUUUAAAAGCGAUUUAAUAUCAUGAAAAAUAUUAACUUUUUUAUAUAUUGAUCUAUUUUUUUAUAUAUGCUAUGUUUUUUGAUAUUUUAAUAUGUUGGAAAAUAAUUGUAAAAGUAUAUCUACAAAUAUUAAAUUGUGUGUGUGCACAUACGCCCCUCCCAAUAUUACUUGAGGCCUCAGUGGGUGCCUCGGAGGGAUGAUAUGUUAACAUUAUACAAAAACAGAUGUGAGAAAGGCUGAACUUGAUGGAUGCAUGUCUCUUUUCAGCCUAUGUAACUAUGUAAAUUUGGUAAGCUUAACCCACAAUAUUCAAUCAAGACCUUUGUAAACUAAGUGACUGAUAACAUUGUUGUCAAAGGAGACAAUUGGGAUAUGAUAUAGUAAUUUAAAAAAAAAAACACUACCUGAUUUACCAUACUGGACCCAGUUAUGUGGUGUAUUAGGGCGUGAGAUGGAAGGCACAGAGCUGCACAAGGUGCCCAUCACUUAGCUAUGUUACAACAACUCUUCUAGGUAGUCAGAGGAGUGGAGGUGGUCAACCGGCCAGACCUCUGAACUCCACAACUGACCUAUCGCUUACAGUGUAGUGGAACCUCUGAUUAAUGAUAUCAAACGUGAUUGAGCAUUGUAUAAGUACCCACGAAGAAAUAUCUUUAUCAUUCAGAACACAGCCUUUCUUUUUUUUCUCACUAAUUCUUUUUUUUUGUUAGACCAGGCACUAUAGCAGUACCAUAUAGGAGAAGUCUGAAAUACAUUAAUAUUUUGCAUAUAUCUAAUUUUCCUAUACAAGUGAACAGAACAGAACAAUACAGAAAUUAAAGAAAAGAGAGAGGAGAAUAAGUUCUGCUAUGAUAUAUACAAUAAACCUAAAUGUAAAUGACAUUCAAUUAGCUAAAGAUGUAUUUAAGCCAUGGGUUCCUAGUUUAAUAAAAUAUUAGUAUUAGCUUUUGUAUAGCGCCAACAUAUUACACAGUACUUGACCAUUAUAGAAAGGGGAUAUGAAGAAGGUCCAGUUUACAAUAUAAAAUAAAAGGUAGACGAUAUAUAUUGUUAGGUAUUCAUUCAACAAGCAGCAAUUAAAUUUUUUUUAUAAUCCCAUUCUUCCCAGUGUCUCUCUUACAUAUCUAGUUUCUCUCAUUGGUGUAGCCGGAGGUGUGUUUGAGCAUCUUCUCCAAUCACCUCCCUCUUUUUCUUCUCUCUGUUUUUGCUCUCCAUCAUAAUUUAUCUGGCAAUCCAAAAGCAGAGCAUCAAUUUCAGUAUGCAUUCCACCUUAGUAUGUAGUUCUGUUUUUUUCUUGCAUGUCAAGGAUAUUCAUCUGCUCCUUAUUAGGUCUUACAAUUUGGUAGAUCCAACCUCAGAUGGACAGCACGUGACAAACUACACCAUGUUGUGAUUUAUUUAACAAAAAUAAAGCCUUGUGUGAAAAAAUGAAGUACACCUUACGAUUCAAUAGGUUGUAAAACCACCUAUCGCAGUGCUAACUUGAAGUAGAUUAAACUCUGCGCUGCGCCAAUCCACAUCUCCUCAUAUAGAUGCAUUGAAUCAAUGCAUCUCUAUAGGGAACAUUCAGAGCUUCCAUGCAGAGCGUGGAGAUGUGGAAUGUUGGUGCACACUGUGCAGCACUGGACUAGGAAGCACGUCUAGCGGCUGUUUACGUUACUGUCAUUAGAGGUGUUUUUAGGCAGCAAUGUAAACACUGUCUUUUCUCUUAAACACCACUGUGAACGGUGGUACUCUAGUUGCUCAUUACUAGCUUUGUGCAUAUAUGAGGAUAUGUCGUGUUAAAAGACAACUGUCACCAAACUUUCAUUUCUCCUUUUAUUACAUGCAGUUAAAUUAAAUGAUAUUUUUCUUAAAGGGAUACUAUAGUCACCAGAACAACAGCAGCGUAAUGUAGUUGUUCUGGUGAGUAUAGUAUGUCCCUGCAGACAUUUUUAUUUAAACACUGCCUUUUCAGAUAAAAGCUGUGUUUAUAUUGCUGCCAAGGGACACCUCCAGUGGCUGUCAUUCAGAUGGCCAAUAGAAUUGCUUCCUGGGUCAGUGCUGCACAAUGUGCUGCAUUGCCCCAGGUAGCACCUAUGUGGGAAGCACCCAUGGGAAAGCAGUGGAUUGGCUGAGAUUAUCAACUCUUAUGAUCUUGGCCAAGGAGGUGGAUCGGGGGCAGUGUUUUUUUUACCCUAUUUAAGUAAGGCAUGGGGGGGGGGCUGUAACCUAAAUAUUAUUUUUAGCACCAUAGGGUCAGGAAUACACAUUUGUAUUUCUGACUCUAUAGUGUUCCUUUAAAUUAUGUAUUUUGAUAUUUUGGAUAACAUUUUUAUUUGGCUGGGCAGCCAUUUUGGGUCAGACUCUGUUAUCUGACCAACUGUAGUUCAAUCUAAAUGACUGCCACUGUGAUUGCUCUGUGUGAAACUGCUACAACCGGAAAGUUAGGAUGAGCAGCAGGUGGUCAGAUAAUAGUAGAAUCUCACCCAACAUGACUGCUCAGAGAGAUACAUCAUUUAAAAAAUAUAAUAAUUAUUAUAUAUAUAUAUAUGUAUAUAUUAGUAAGUUUCCGUACAUGUAAUAAAGUUUUAAAAAGUGAAAUUUUGAUGACAGUUGUCUGUCCUUUAAUACUAUGUUCCUGUUGUGAACUUCACAAUGUUCUGAAAUGAUCAGUCAGUAUUCUCAUUGGUCAGUAUUAGUCAGUAUUCUCUUACUCCACAUUCAAAUGUGUGUUAUUUAGUCUUGAAUCUCUGUCUUAGCUCCCAAAAAUAGGUUUGCAUUUACUAUUUGCUUUGACAGAGUUCUUUCCUUAGUUGAUGGAAAAUGUAAAUGGUUAAUAAAGCUGAGUGUAGAUUUGCCUUAUAUGUGAACGGUGCUUUGAGUAUGUAACUCAAGCCAAAGGUCUACAUGUGCUUAGCAUGCUCUUCAGGUGAUUGAUUGAUUGAUUGAUAGAUUUAAAAGUCAAAAGGCCAAAUAAUAUAACUUUGCUUCUUCUCAAUAAACUCUGUGUAAGAUGAGCAAGGCAAUAUCAAGUCGGAGUUGAAAGAGACAACUAUACAGUAAUGUACUUUACUUAAAUAUAACUGGAGAGUUAUAACCACUGGUAAUGUCACAUACAGAGGGAGCAUCAAAUGAUUGUUAAUUAGAGAUUAUAAAAGUGUUUGUAUUAAUUCUGAAUUGUUGAGCUGGCUAAUGGCUAAACAAAAAAAAAACAUCACACCUGUAAUAAGACUAUUUGUGUAAUUUUCUGUUGGAAUUAGUUUUGAAAAUGCGAAUUUUUAGCGUCUUUUAUAGUUGAAUAUUUUUUAUAUAUAUCCAUAUCCAUUGGCCUGUAUUUGUGGGAGGGGCUUAAGUUAACUUACUCCCCUAUAUAAACUACACCUCUUACCUGACUCCUUACCGAUCAAGGUCAGCAUCUGAAUGCCCCUCCCACCCACUCCUCAUACUUACACAAUCUAUAUCACAUUUCUUAUUUUAAUUCUUACUCCUUGGUGGGCCCUCUUUAUUUACAGGCCUACCGUAUCGUCGGUAUCGGCACACCACAACCGACUUGCUCUUUUAUAAUAUUCCAGUUCCUACUGGAACCUCACUCCUUAUACUAUUACUUAGCACCUUACACAAAUAUAUAUAUAUAUCCAUAUCCAUUGUAUAUCACAAUGUGAAUCAUAUUUAGGAUACCAUAAAUUGCAACAAAUAAUGUAUUUACAUCCACAUAUUUAUAUAAUGAAUGAGUGUAUGCGUAUACUACAUUAAGUAGUCCUAAUGGCUAGUAAUGGUUACUUGGUAAUAUGUGCAUUUGUUCUGGUUCCCUUUUGAGCUUCCGAGGUCACAUUUUAUAAUGGAGAAAUUCUGGCGGCAGACUUGGUAGGCCAUGAAGUAGCAAAUUGCUUGUUACUAACAUGAAAAAAUGUCGUGCAAAUGUGAAGUGUUGCUGUUGGUGGUCAAAUGUUUCAUUUUUGUCACACUGCUUACCUUUCUUAGGAUGAAAUUUUUUUUAAUUGAAGUUCCUGGUAAUAUUUAGAGGAGUCACAUUAGCAGAUACAAGAAAUAUACAGCUUGUUGUUUCAACAUUUUUACUCCCAAUGCUGCUUGUUUUCUUUCAGUAUUCCACCUCUGUUGACCCACUGUCCAAAGAGCAGAGGACAAGCAAGAAGACAUAUAUGGAAAGAUCUGUGUACUUUGUCAAAGUGGACUGUCUGAAAGAAGAUUUAGGGUUUUGCAGUGUUAGGGGUUUUGUUACCAAGUUCUAGAGGAGACGUUUACUGGAACUGCAACACAGUGCUCUGCAGAUUCUACCAAGCCACUGCACAUGUUUGUGUCUAAAAUGCUUGUGUCUUAUUUUUAUUACGAGGACAUGACUUGCUAAACAAAAUAAUGCCUACAUAUUUUAAAAGGUGCAAAUGUGGAUAAUGUAUCACACAAUAUGAUCAAUAUAUCAGCAUGUUGGGUAUAUCUGCAAAAUAGUCAUUUCGGACUCUCAUGGAAGAAGCUAUUUCUUUGGGGAAGUCACAAAUGGAAUUCUGACCCAUGGAAUUGUCAAAAAACAGUUUUCUUAUUGACACCUGGAAGUGGUAGCAUCAGUCCUGAUGUUGGAUUAAAUAAUUGAUCAUUGUAUGUUGUUGCGUUUACCUGCCUUUAAUCAGUAAAACAGAUGUAAACUAUUUAACAGGAGUCUGCUCUCUCCCUGCUUUGUAUUCAGAAGAAUGGAUCUAACUGUGCUGUUCUCUGCUGUCACACUGAUAGUCAUCGAAUAGAACCAACACAAAUAUAAUUUUAUACAUACAUAUAUGCACAUAGGCAGACAUACACACACAUAUGCCUAACAAAGGACACGCUAAUAAUGCAUUUUGUCUGGUCUCAGAAAUUCCAUUUUGACUUGUUUAAAUUGGUCCGAAUGGCCAUGAAUACAUAGUGGUUACUGCCAACAAGAUCACUCUCCCAGUAAAACUUUGGCCCUACUUCAUACUGCAGAACAUUUCAAAAAGACAAAGAUUGACACUUUAUUUUUAGGGGUGUGAGUUUGGUGUGUGGCCACGGCCUGGGCUGCUUAGAUAUAUUUUAGGUGACUUACUAAUAACAAAUAGGAAACUAAAAUAUCACUUAGAACAAGAAAAAAAAAAUAUCUUAUCUACACAGCCUUAUUUCUAAACACAUGUAUUGUAGUUUAAAGACACUUUACUGCGAGCUCUAUUAUACACUCAGACAGGGGCGGACUGAGAACCCUCAGGGCCCUCGGGCAAAAUAAAUCAAGGGCCCCCUUACAGGCCCCACCCAUACUCUGCAGCAAGCGCCACCCUUGUCCCGCCUCCAUGCACCGCCUCCAGCCACACCCUACACAAUCUUUAGACACAAGGAACAAAAGGGCAAUAAGCCCUUCGAGGCCCCAGUAGAGACUACAAUUGAGGGCUAAUGGGCCAUGGAGGGGGGUCUUUCUAGCGGAGGCUAUCUCAGUGUCCUUUAGAGAGUGUGUUAGAAAGAAUCCCCUCCAAGCCCCAUUAGAGACUACAAUGGAGUCUAAAAGGCUUGGAAGGGGGUCUUUCUAACAGAGGCCAUCUCAGCGUCCAUUAGAUAUCCCCUGCUGGAAACAGUCGCCUCCAGGCCCCAGUAGAAACUACAAUUGAGGGCUAAUGGGCCAUGGAGGGGAUUUCUAGCAGAGGCUAGAGUCUAAUGGGGCCUGGAGGGUGGUCUCUCCAGCUCUCUUCCUAUUCACAAUAUAGCAACACAACAUAGCUCGCUGAUACCUAAGCCAAGUUGGCUCCUCUUACCUUAAUUACUGUUGCUGGCUGGCAGUCUGUGGGCUUGCUGGCUGCGGCUGGCAGGCUGUGGGCUUGCUGGCUACUGCCGGCAGGCUGUGGGCUUGCUGACUGCUGGCAGGCUGGCAGGCUGUGGCUUGCUGGCUGUAAGCCUGUGGCUUGCUGGCUGUAAGCCUGUGGCUUGCUGUAGGCCUGUGGGCUGGCUACUGGCCUGUGGGCUGGCUAACUGGCUGGCUACUGGCCAGCCUGUGGGCUGGCUAACUGGCUGGCUACUGGCCAGCCUGUGGGUUGGCUGGCUGGCUGGCUGGCUACUGGGGCACUUGUAGAUUAUUUAAAGAAAUAAUCCAUGCACAAUAACCACUACUGCUCCAGAGUAAGUAGUCAAACCGUUUAAGAACAGUUUGACAACUUACCUGGGGUCUGCUGGGAUAUGAGGCUGUAGUAGGGAAUAGGAGCAGUGGUGCAAUGUGUGUGAAAGGUUCAGUGUGUGUGUGGGGGUGUAGUGUGUGAAUGUGUAGGGUGUGUGGGCAGUGUAUGUGUGUGGCAAUGUUAGUAUGGGGGGCUGUGUAUGGGGGUCUGUGUGUAUAUGGGUGGGCAGUGUAUGUGUGUGUGUGAGGCAAUGUGUGUAAAUGUGUAUGGUGUGUAUGGGGGCAGUGUGUGAAUGUGUAUGGUGUGUGUGUGGGGGCAGUGUGUUUAUGGGGCUAGAGUUCACUCUCACCACUGCGACCACCAGGAAUCCAUGGGGGUUACAGUGUUGAGAGUGAACUCUAGCCCGUAGCUCCAGGGCUAGAGUUGACUCUCGCAAGAGCAGUAACGUUGCCAUGGUAACCGCGGCAACGCUCUGUGCUCGCGCAAGAAGGACCCAGAGGAGCUGCAGGGUGAGCUCCCAGGUCCUCUCUUCCUCCCCUGCCCGCACGGUGCCUGCGGACAGGGGAGGGGGGGCAUUCUUCCCUCUCUUUCUCCCCCCUCCCCCAACUCUCUAUUCCCCCUCUUUCUCCCCGUGUCUCAUUCUUCCCUCUCUGUCUCUUUCUCCCCCUCCCCAUCUCUCUAUUCCCCCUCUUUCUCCCCGUGUCUCAUUCUUCCCUCUCUGUCUCCCCCCUCCCCAUCUCUCUAUUCCCCCGUGUCUCAUUCUUCCCUCUCUGUCUCUUUCUCCCCCUCCCCAUCUCUCUAUUCCCCCUCUUUCCCCCUGUGUCUCAUUCUUCCCUCUCUGUCUCUGUCUCCCCCUGUGUCUCUUUCUCCCCAUCUCUUUAUUGCCCCCCCUCCCCAUCUCUGUUCCCCCCCUCUUUCUCCCCCCUCCCCAUCUCUCUGUUCCCUCUUUCUCCCUCUGCCCAUCUCUCCCCUCUCUCUCCAUCUCUGUUCCCCUCUUUUCUCCCCUACUCCAUCUCUGUUCUCUUUCUCCCUCUCUCCCUAUCUCUCCCCUCUCUCUUAUCUCUCUCUGUUCUCUUUCUCCCUCCCCCAUCUCUCUCCCUCUCCAUCUCUGUUCCCCUCUUUUCUCCUCCCCAUCUUCCCUCUCCAUCUCUGUUCUCUCUUUCUCCCUCCCAUCUCUCCAUCUCUGUUCUCCCUCCCCCCAUCUCUCCCCUCUCCAUCUCUCUGUUCACAAUUUCUUUUCUCCCCCAUUCUCCCUCUUUCUCCCUCUCUAUCUUCCCCAUCUUUCUCCCCACUUCUCCCUCCCUAUCUCCUCUAUCUUUCUCUACUCUCUCUCCCCUCCCCAUCUCUUACCUCUGGCUGUGCCAGCGCAUGCUGGCUGCCGAAUGCUCGCCGGCGGCAUUCCUCUCACUAACACAGAAGAAGAAGAGGGAGGAGGAGCAUGUGUCUAUCAUGCUCCUUUGCGGUUCCCACAUCCUGUGCUGGGAAUUGUGGGAACCGCAGGGAGCAUGAUAGACACAUGCUCCUCCUCCUCCUUCUUCAGCGUUAGUGAGCGGAAUGCCGCCGGACCGGCGAGGCUGCUACCCGGUCCGGCGGCUGCAGCAUCAAACGGCCGCCCCCCCCUCACAGUGUGCCACUGGACCGGCCACCCGGUGGCACCUGCAGUCCCCAAAUGCCGCCCCCAAUCCAGCCCUGCCGCCGGGCCCCCUGAAGGCAGCCCUGGCGGCGGGCCCCCCUCCCGGCCGGGCCCUCGGACCGUGUCUGAAGUGCCCGACCAGUCAGUCCGCCCCUGCACUCAGACACGCCAACAAUAUAGAGCUCCUAGAAAAGAGGGACAUCAUAUUAGAAAAGAGGAAUUUAGGCCCAAAAUAGUGACUAUCCCUCCUAAAUAGGUACACUUGGGAGGUAUGCUACUUAUUCCUAUCUAUAGCUAAAAACAAAAAAAAAACUAAGAGAAAUAGAGGGACAGAAAACUAUUAAUUUAAAAACAGAACCUUCAAAGUGACAGGGUAGCUUUAAAAACACCUUACAAUCAUAGUUUAAUAUUUAUUUACUUCAGAAAGAUCAAUGAUAACAUACACCAUACUCUCCAGUUAAGUGCUUUUAUUGACGUAACCUACCUGUGUUUUUUUUUUUAUAAAUUUGGAGUUUUCAGCCACUUCCAUCAUGGUAAUCCCUAGUAUGGGCUAAGUUUGUCAGAGAAAAGCAAUAAGAUGGAUAUUCUUGAGAUAAAUAUAUGAAGGACAGGUCUGUUCCACUUACACAGUAAUUUAUGUGAAGUCUGCUCAGUGAAUAUUGCCUUGGAAUGUUUCCCAGAUAUGGUUAACUUGAGAGAAACUUUUUCGCAGUUCAGGUUUGAUUACCUCAGGUAAUUAGAGACAAUUGAGACUCUUAGUACAGCUUGAGAACAUUUAAAUAUGGUUUUUGAAACGUGUUUUUUAUGUUCUCCCAAAUUCGAGUUAUCCUAAAAAUCCAUAGUUUUAAAUGGGAUAAAACUGGGUUCUUAAUGAAUUACCUCAUCCCUGUUUUACAGUUCCCCCAUGAUGGUCAGUAUUCUACAACUCCGCAAGCCGCUGCUCUACACUAUGCCCAUUCCUACAUUUGGUCAUUUCCUCCCAAUCUGUGUUCUCACGCCUUUCCAAUGUUCACUCUAAGUGCAGCUCUCCUCAACUCAUUGUUUAAUACAUCCCCACUUCCCAAAUUCAAUCAGUUUCCUUUGUCCCUUCAUGCAUAUGAUGUUUUCAUACUUUGUGUGUGUAUUCUCUCUUUCCCACACAUCUUUUUACGUGCUUUCCUGGAUAGACAGACAAAAUAUGGCAAGGUCUUUUUGAGAUUUCAGUAUUUACAUUAUUUCAUGAUUUUAGUAGAUUUUAGUGUUUACAUUAUUUGGUUAUUGUAUCUAAUGGAUUAUUGAUGUGGUCUUACUGGUGAUUUUAUUCCUUUGCCUUUAGCUUUUCUCUUUCUGUAGCUCUUUGUGUCACACAACCCCCAUUCCCAGCUUUGCAUGCGUACAUAACUUCUCCUACUCAACGUAUUGGCUAUUUCAACACCUUUGUGAUAGAUGAUGUACCAGGAAUAUCCAAUUAUAAUUGAAUUUGCCUCACCCCUUUUACAACCUUCCUGUUCACUGUACAUAUAUCAGGGUUCUGAUGAAUCCUCAACCUUCUAAUCCAUAGCUUAGUCAUAGGGUCAGUUUAUGGCUUUUACAUUGUCUUUCUCUGUAUCAUGCUAAAACACAAAUAAAGUUCAUUGUGAUUUAAAUUUUUUAAUUGGGGAUGUCUGUGAAAAAUGCUUGAUGUUCUUAAUACAGACAUUUGGCAGCCCUAAGCACAACACAAAUGUCCCAAAUUAGGAGGGACAGUCCCUAUUUUGGGUUCCAAAUCACUUUUUUUCUGUCCUAAUAUCCCUCUUUUCUAACAGCUCCAUAUUGCUGGUGUGUCUGAGUGUAUAACAGAGCUCCACAGCAAUGAUACUCACAGUAAUGUCUUUAAACUACAAUAAUUGUGUACAUAAGAUACAGUGUUCUUGUUCAAAAAUACAUUUGAGAAAUCUAUAAAAGGAGUGUCUUUAGGCGCUUCUCAUGAACUCAAUGUUAAAAAUAAUUGUUUGGGGGGCGUGGCUAACCACGGAGCAAGAUGGCAGCAUGAAAACUUGCUCCGGCAACAGGGCACCCAAUCCAGCGUAAUCCAACCGCCUAAAGCUGCAUCCAACAACAUAGACCAGCAAUGUCCCACCACAAAAGUAAAAGGAGCUCGGUAAAACCGGACAAGCUUAAUUUUUUUAGCCAGAAACAAACUCCUGCGGCCCUGGCUACGCAGGCCUCAAAAGCAGCCGAGGAUCCUGAAUCGGACGACGGCAUGCAUGAUACCGACUCGGAGGCAAAAGCUGACACAACACAGAUUACUAAAGCCGACCUCACAGCAGCUCUGGAGGUCUUAUCUGCUAAACUAAUCACCACAUGGCAACAUACAGCGGACUCCUUACGGAAGGACAUCCAGGAGCUGGGGAAAAGGAUGACGCACAUGGAGGAUAAGUGCGAUGAAUUCGCCACAGCGCACAACGAUCUGGCCACGAACGUAGAGCGCAUAGCAGCAAAAAUCACCAUUAUGGAAGAAAAAAUGGCGGACAUGGAGGACCGGUCCCGCCGGAAUAAUUUACGCUUGCGGGGAGUCCCUGAGGAUGUCACUAACGACGACCUGCCAGCUUAUGUCAGGAACCUCCUGCACGCCCAUGCACCGGAGAUACCUACAGAUAUGCUGCUGGUAGAUCGGGCUCACCGCAUUCCGAAACCCCGUCAUCUCCCACAAACAGUACCGCGGGACAUACUAUUGCGGGCGCACUAUUUCCACAUAAAGGAACAUAUCCUCCGGAGCAGCAGGCUGAGAGCUAAGCCGCCGGCCGACUACCCAACGGUCAAAAUCUAUGCGGAUCUGUCAGCCGCAACACUACGAAAAAGAAAAGACUUCCUCCAAGUUACCAGCACGUUGAGGUCCCACGGCAUAAGGUAUAGGUGGGGAUUCCCCACAAAGUUGAUCGUUACGCAAAAUGGAGACACGGUAGUGAUAAAUUCCCCUGACGACGGCCUGAAGAAACUCCAGGCCUGGAACCUGCCGGUGGAGCCGCCUAUCCUGCAAACAAGAAAGGCGGGCACCCUCAAACCGGACUGGGAAAAAGCCCACGGGAAACACUGAAACCAGACGGUAUCUGGUACGCAGGCGAAAGCCCCUUCGGAUAUACACUGCCCAUAUAAUGUCCUGGAUACGCACCUGAAGUGCCUCCUUUCAACAUGGCGACCCUGGAAUGCACAACAAAGCUGGACAAGAACUGGUAACUGAGGACCCCGAUGGAUAAGUGACUCUGGAUCGGGGCCCCCCGCUGACCCUGUGACGAAGCGUACGCAGAGCAGUGGAUUCCCGCGGGGGUCCCCGGUCUGGACUAAUACCCUGAGGUGAUGGGCCUUCCUCCCCCCUCUACCCCCCAUCUCGCCUCCACUCCCCCCCCGGGUCCGGGUGAGCAACGACCGGGGCAGCCUCCAACUCAGGUGAGGCCAGAUGGUUUACCCGGGAGAUGGGAGGCAUGACACCACAACCAGAUGGACCAUGAGACUUUGGAGAUGCUGAGACAAGCUGCAGAACUACAGCGUUAUACGCUCCUACCAACAGGUCUAAUGGGACAAUGGGACACUGGGGCCCGGGUGGGGGAUGGGGAGAUUCCGGGGAAGUUUUCUUGGCCGUUGGGGUGGGGGGGGCGGGAGACAGGCCGGGAGGCGGGACGGUUAGCAGGGUAAAAAAGUUACCGCAGGUUAUGUUUUUACUUAGAAUGCAUGAGCUAUAGUUGACUGUUAACAUACACGUACAUAGGGCCCCUUUGAGCCAACGUUAGCGUUCAUGACAGGUCUUCAGCACAUAUAGCCAGACCACCCCAACAGAUGGCACGCCAAUGUACACUCUAAUUCAGACGAGGACGUCUGGCCCCGGCCUUUCUCAACCUGUCACGCCCUUACCGGGAUUACAUCCAAGGGCCCGGAUCGGUCCAUAGGCACUGAUUGGCCCAACCGCAUACUAGAAGCAGCCACAAACACGAACCACAAGGGUGCCCAAAUAGCCACGUUAAUGGAAAGAUCCUUUCUUUCUUACCCCCCAGAUGUGGUCUAUCCACAUAAAUUCCUUGAAAGGAAUACUCUGUACAUAGUUUUUAUACCUUCCCCUAGUUCUCCUCCCCUAAUCCCACAUCCCCAAGGUCGGCCACUACCCACAAAUGGAACUAACACAUCUCCAAAUCCAUACCACUACCUAAUGGUGUACAUUAUGCAACGACACGCCAAUGCUAUCCUAGAACCAACAGGCAACACGGCCACACAACAUUCCCAUUCCCAAUGUGGGGGCAACAUCAGACAAGGACAAGCGAGACCUAGACAGCUACACUAUAUAACCCUCCCAUAGUAUGAGAAUACAAACUAUUAAUGCACGUGGACUGAACACCCCACACAAAAGGAGACUCUGCAUUGAGGACGCGAAGCGUGCUAAAGCAGAUAUCUUAUGUGUCCAAGAAACUCACUUUGUACACAACAGAGUGCCCAGAUUUGCAGACAGAGAAUACCCCACACAAUACCACUCGACAUACUCCUCUAAAUCGAGGGGUGUCUCCCUCUUCAUACACACCUCAAUAGCAUUCGAACUUCUCCGACUCAAAAAAGACACACAAGGCAGGUAUCUUAUACUACACGGUAAAAUCAACGACACCCUACACACAAUAGUGAGACUAUACGGACCAAACAGUAAUCAAAGAAACUUCCUACAGAAAGUACUAAAUAAACUACCUAACACGUACCAAUCAUCCACAAUCAUAUGCGGAGACUUAAAUCACAUCAUGCAACCCCGAUUAGAUACUACACUGUCGGAAACAACACCCAGGAGCAAAAUACAGGGAAAACAGGCUAUAGCACUCACGAAGCUCCUCUCCGAACACGGGCUUUAUGAUAUUUGGAGGACACAGCAUCCGAAUGAACGGGAAUUCACAUUUUACUCACCAGUACAUAAAACAUACACAAGAAUUGACUUUAUUCUAAUUUCGGGCGACAUGUUACCAAUGGCAACGCAUAGUGAGAUAGGGAACAUAAUCUGGUCAGACCACGCACCAGUACAACUUACCCUGAGGGACAAAUUUCAGACCAGAGGGGCGACACUCUGGCGCCUAAACGACACUCUCCUCCAUAACCAAGAAUUUAAAACCAAACUUAACGAAGAGAUACUUUCGUUCUUUACCUUAAACGAAACACCCGAGGUCUCACUAGCCACAACAUGGCAAACACAUAAAGCAGUCAUACGAGGCCUCCUGAUUAGCCAGGCAUCCCACCUGAACAAGCAAGCAAAGAAAGAGUAUAUAGACCUCCUGAGGUCACUUAGGGACGAAACAUCGGCGCAUAUUAUGCACCCAUCCCCCUCCACACAGCAGCGCAUAGCCCAGCUUCAAGGGAAACUAAAUGACAUACACCUGCGCACCACAGCUACCAUAUCACAUAAAUUGAAACUCAAAACAUACACCCAGGGAAACAAGGCAGGGAAGACACUGGCAGCACUUCUGCGACAGAAACGGCAAAAUGCAAAAAUCCCAUUUCUAUUGAACGCUAUAGGCAAUAAAAUGUAUAGCCCACAUGAUAUAAACAACGCGUUAGCGGACUACUAUGAUACACUAUAUAACCUGAAAAGGGAUCAGCAGACACACCAGCCACUCCCAAAGGAGAUAGACGCAUUUUUAAUGGAAGUACAGCUGCCGAAACUAUCGGAGGCAGACCAGACUCUAUUGGAAGCUCCCGUUACCCAAACUGAAAUUGCAAGCAUUAUUAAAGCCCUCCCAAAGGGGAAGUCACCAGGCCCAGACGGCUUCACGAACUUAUACUAUAAAAUUUUCUCCCACAGUCUCACCCCCAAAUUGGAAAAACUGUACAACAAUAUUCUCACGACAGGCUCUAUACCAAGGGAAAUGCUGCUAGCCCACAUAACCACACUGCCAAAACCAGGGAAGCCUCCAACUAAAUGCCAGAACCUGCGUCCUAUAUCGCUACUAAACACUGAUUUAAAAAUAUUAGCGAAAAUUUACGCAAAUAGGCUAGGAAACAUAUUACCAUCCCUGAUUCGAGAUGAUCAAGUGGGGUUUGUCCGGGGUAGGCAAGGCUCAGACGGAACCAGGAAACUGAUCAACAUCCUGCACAAGAUCCAGAAAACCGGGACCCCCAGUGUGGCACUGUCACUAGACGCUGAGAAGGCGUUUGACAGGCUGCACUGGGGAUACCUGGAGGCUGUGCUAAGGAAACUCGCAUUUCCCGAGUGCUUCAUCACACUAGUCUCGGCACUAUAUGACAACCCGACAGCAAAAAUAGCCAACGGCGGGUUUACCUCCAAACCCUUCCACAUCUCCAAUGGGUCCAGACAGGGCUGCCCACUCUCACCCUUACUAUAUAUACUAGCACUAGAACCCCUGGCUCAACACGUUAGGGAGUCACAUGAGGUCCAUGGAAUACAAAUAGGGGGAGAAACACACAAAAUUACCCUAUUUGCUGACGACGUAAUGCUCACACUGUCUAAACCUGACAUUUCUCUGCCACGGCUUCGAACUAUACUAACAAAAUUUAGCAACUGCUCAUACUACAAGCUCAAUGUCACCAAGACACAAGCUAUGGGCCUCAAUAUCCCUAAAGAACAACUUACCCACCUACAAAACACAUACACAUAUGACUGGCGAACUGACCAUUUGACCUUCCUAGGUAUAGAUCUCACACCCAAGACGCAAAAGCUGUAUAAAGCGAACUAUUUAAAACUCCUUAGCGCAAUUAAACAACAAUUACAUAGCUGGAAAGGGAAAUACAUCUCAUGGCCAGGCAGAAUAGCGGCAGUUAAAAUGAUGGUACUACCACGACUACAGUACUUAUUUAGAACACUCCAAAUACAGCUACCACGCCAAUUCCUUAAAGACGCACAGCACUCCCUAAAUCAAUUCAUAUGGGAUGGGAAACGACCUCGAACGGCGGCCGACACCAUGUAUAGGCCAUUCAAGGAGGGAGGAAUGGGGGCCCCUGAGAUCGCAAACUAUUACACAGCUGCCAUGAUGAGCACACUCGUAUCCUCCUUCCACUACACAAUACCACCAAAGUGGAGUCACAUAGAAACCGCAAACACGGGCGGACUCUCGAUGUCCACCCUUGCUUGGAUACCUAGGCAUCUGAGACCAAAAUACCCAGACAUAUGCCCAACCACGAGGGCCACACUCCUCCUAUGGGACAAGUACACCAAGAAACACUAUCCCACCUCAUACAUAUCCCCAGCACUACAAAUUCCAGCAUUCCAACUCCUCAUUCCGGGAUUCGAUCAUGGCCUAUGGUGCAAACACGGAGCCACACGCCUAUCGCACUUAAUGAGGGACGGUCGCCUAAUAGACUUUAGUACUCUAUCCAACCAGUACAACCUACCUCCCAAAGCCUAUUUCUCAUACUUACAAUUGCAAUCAUGGGCGAGGAAGAAUAUAGGUCUAGAAGCUGCACAAACGCAACCACAGACACUGACAGAGAUAGAAAAAGUAUGUAUGGCCCCAAAACCACCACAGAAAAUGCUGUCACUCCUGUAUAAACUGACCAAAAAACAAGACCAACCACAGAAAUUAAGCUUCAUGACGGCAUGGGAAAAAGACCUGAAUCUGACUAUAUCCAAUGAGGUAUGGUCAAAAAUACUGUUAGCACACAAAAAUCUCACACUAAAUGCAUCCCAUAUUGAGACUAGCAGGAAAGUGUUAUAUCGCUGGUACAUGGUACCCACCAGGCUGAGCAAAAUGGACCCAAGUAAGUCAGGGACAUGCUGGAGAUGCUUACAGGAACCGGGGUCAAUGCUCCACAUAUGGUGGACCUGCCCAGGAAUUAGGCCCUUUUGGAAAAGCGUCUCGAAUAUCAUAACCAAAUCCACUGGCAAUACUCUGCCACACUCCCCAGAAACAUAUUUACUGCUAGCCCUGCCACAUAAGCUCUCAAAAGCUGAUAUGUACCUAACAUACCACAUUAUUAUCACAGCACUAAUGGCUAUAAGCAAGACUUGGUUGAGCACACACCCACCCAGCACUCAACGAUGCCUAGAUAUGAUAGACACUACCCAAGGGUAUGAGAUAGAAGCUAGGCGACUAAGGCCGACAAAUAAAGCCUGGCAAACAGCGUGGCAGACAUGGACAGCAUGGCGACAAAAUGCCACACAGGAUGGCAGUCAUGGCACUAGCUAACUCUUGGAAACAAUUCCAGACGUUCCAAACCGACCUUCCCCUCCACCCUUCCUCUUCCCUCCUCUUCCCCCCCCCUACAAUAAUAGGGUGAUACCUAGUCGCAAGACUAGGUUAGUUGUCACAUAACACUGGUACAGGUGCAAGCCACAACGUUAAAUGCUAUGGCACUGAGAUGCUGUGACUGGCCUCCCCAACAAGUUGUUGGGGUUCCCAAACACUGGACGAAGUAUGAAACACUUCCUAAAGAUGUAUAAAGCGAAAUGUAAUUGUUAUUCUGCAACUGUACAAUUGUGUGCAUCUGUUACCACUAUUUUAAACUCAAUAAAAAAUAUUACACACAAAAAAAUAAUUGUUUGAAGUGAGACCCACAGAUGGUAAUGUAACUGAUAUAAGGAGUGCUUACCAAAAAACACAAAGUGACAAAUAUAAAUACAAUAAGAUAUCAGUGUACAUACAAUCACCAGUGAUGAAGUGUAUGGAUUUUAAACACAAAUAAUACAACCAUAUCACUAGCAGACACAGGGAUAUCAAAUGAUACCUAGAACAAAAUAUUAAAACAACAUAGUGUAUACUGUUUAAAAACAUAAAACAUACAAAUGUGAUAAUAGGACUACCAUUUACAUGGCCCAGAGCUGUCCCAGGCUCUAUAUCUCAGCCUCAACGGUGCCAAUACUGACUACAGGAUCCACUUGAUCACAGCAGGAUACUCGACAUCAGGUGCUUUGUAAAAUGAAAACGUUAUUCCAGGAUACAUAAAAUAAUAUAAACGCUGAUGGGUACUUUAACUCAGGUGGCUGUGAAACCUACUAGUAAAGUCACACUUACCACCGAAAACAGUAACCCACAAAAAUGUAAAGUUCAAAGUUACAAAUAGCAGUCACGUUUCGGCUCAAAAUGCCUUCUUCCAGUGUGGGCUGGAAAAAGGCAUCUGCUAUUUGUAACUUUGAACUUUACUUUGAACUUUGCCCAGUCUACUGCUGUGAUCAAGUGGAUCCUGUAGCCAGUAUUGGCACCCUUGAGGCUGAGAUAUAGAGCCUGGGACGGCUCUGGGCCAUGUGAGUGGUAGUCCUAUUAUUAUAUUUUUAGUGUUUAUGAAUGUGUAUGUUUCAGUGAAAGUGUGUGUUGGCUAAACAGUGUGUGUGACAAUGACUGCAUAUCUGUAAGUGAGUGUAUGUCAGUGCAUGCAUCAGUGAGGGUGUGUGUCUGUCAGGAAGAGAAAUUUGGAGGGGGGGCAUGCCUGAGUUUUGUCAUGGGCCUAGGGCAGCACAAAACCAGAAUACACCACUGACUUUGUGUACACCAUGUAGAUAUUUCUGUUUCUUAUGCUAUAAUUUAUUGUCUUACACCAGGGGCUUUUUACUCUCCUUUGUCCAGUACACUUUCACCAAUCCUUCCCUGCUGUGAUCUUGCGUACAUAUCCCCACUCACAACCAUUACCCUUACAUCCCCCUUCCACACACACUCCACACACGUGGCAGUUUGAUUAUGGAGGGCUCUGGCCUUAUUCUGGUGUCCGACCUUUGUGUUGGAGAUUUUGGGGCAUGCAUAACAUAUGAGGAGGGGUUUUCCUUCUGAAAGCUCUGUUGUAUGAAUGUGAACACACAUCUUGUUUUUAAAUAUAGCACCAGCUGGAAAGGCCUUGAGAAGAAGCACUGAAUGCAGGACUUGUAUUAUACAGGAUGUAUUGGGAGGGGUAGGGAGGAAAACACAGGGCAAGCAAGAGUGAAAUGGGGAAUAGUGAAAAAUGCAUUUUAACAGAAAAAUUAAGAAAUGGGGGAUGUGUUUGCAGUGAAAAUGAUAAGUGCAUCUUGAGAAAAACAAGGAUUUUAAAGAGAUGCAGAGGGAAUGAAAAAAGUAUGCAUCUGCAGUGAGAAAAGCUAGAAUUUAAGGAAGUGUAAAAUAUAAAAGAUGGGUAAUUGAUAAAUGGUACAUACAGAGAGUGAGACACUUUUGUCAUUCCACGCAGGACAUUUUUUUCUGCAGACAUUAUCAGAAAUUUGGAUUUGUAUUCUUUAACGUCAGUAGAAAACAUUAUUAGAUUAUUCCCAAUGCACAGUAGCCUAUAAUGGGCAGUUUACCCUUUAAAUAAGAUUAUGAAUAUAAUGAUGGAUAAUUACCAGAUCCAAAACUUUUGAUUGAUUAAAGCAACUCUAUCACCUUCUGGUUUACAUAUUUUACAAAGACUUCAGAUGGUGACUGCCCUGCUUCAGGUGUGGUGCCCUGGGGGUGCAGUGAAAGGUACUUUUAACUUACCUGAACCUGUCCCAUGUGGGCGCUACCAUCUUCUUCCGCAAGGUCCGAGUCUCGUAUGGUGGUGUCAGUGUUGUACUGUCGUGUGUGCAUGAGAGUACAACACUAAUGUCAGUGGAGGAUCUCACAAGACCAUGUGAUGCGCAAUAGACAGAGCUUUUCCCCCCAAGCCUUUCACAGUGAUAGGUGACAGCGAGCUGAACACUACUUGCGCCUGCACUGCGCCUUGUAGAUUGCACAGACCAAAUGCUCCACGCGGCCGCACAAUCCAAAAAUAGAACUAGCAUAUAAUAAGUACCAUUCAGCUCGGCGAACCACUCCUCCUCCUGGUUUGCACAGGCCGAAAUUCACAAAGCCGCUGCUUUCAUGCAUAUUUCCAGACACUGACGGCUUGAAUGGCGUGUCUUUGAUUAGUUCAAAUGUUGUGACAUCACGCUCACCCUUAGUCCACGAGGUGGACCAAUUUUAACAUAUGUAAACCUAUAAAAUGCUAAUUUGGGCUCCAAUUCAGUGCCCUAUCAAGGUUUCUGCCUUGAUACACGUUUGGUGCUUUUAGUAAGUCUUCCUUGAUAGUCUGAUAUUGACCUUGGCUUGUAUUUGAUUUCAUGUAUUUCUGGUAUCCUGACCUGGCUUGUUUCUGACUUUGAGUAUUUCUGGAAUCCUAACCCAGCUUGUUUCUGACUUUGAGUAUUUCUGGAAUCCUGACCCAGCUUGUUUCUGACUUUGAGUACUUCUGGAAUCCAGACCCGGCUUGUUUCUGACUUUGAUUAUUUCUGGUAUCCUCACCCAGUUUGUUAUUUCAUUUAUCCUUGUUUCUAUUAUCCUGACCUUGGCUAUUACUGACUUUGUCUUUAGCUUUCUUACAUUAAGUUUGGAAACUCUAAAGCCAGGUAAUACGUCUUUUUAGAACCUCUUUUUAUGGGAUUCGCCAUUUCCUGUAAAUUAGGGUAUGACCCCGUGACAUGUAUUAUGUGGAUUAAUUCAUUAUGCCUUUAUAAAUUUUUUUAUUAAUAAGUGAAAAAAAUAAACAUGUGCUUUUUGACUUGUUUUGUAACUAUUUAGAAUAAACAAAGUGAUCAUCUGUCAAACGUUAUACCACAGUAGAUAAUCGAUGAGCUCAUGCUUUACUAUCUGACUUCCUACAUCAAUAAUCUGUUAACCCUGGGUCAUACAUAAUCAGCUAUAUUUGCAGGGCAGCAAAUUACUGUUAGAAACCUAUAAUCAGGAAUUGUAACAGUUCUGCAUAAUAGACAAUAUAGGAACGCUCAAGAAAAUUUUUCUUUUCGUCUUAUCUAAACCUUUAUUGACCUAAAUCAAGGGCUGUCCACACCACUUAUCAUCUGGAAGUUUCCCAAGUUAUUUAUAGAACCAGUGGGCCUUCUAUCCACCUUCUUGCCUGCUUAACUUAACUUGACCCCAAGAGCAAAAUUUCCCUUAUUCAGCUAAAGUUCUAGAACAGAAACGUGUGCAUCAAUAAUUAAUGUUUGCAUAUAAAUUGUUCCACUUAUAUAUACUGUGGUCGUACAAAGCGAGUGAGCAAUCUGAUCUGAAGGUAAUAGCUCAUUGACCAAGACUAAGGUUGGAGCUUAGUCACGGUAAUUAGAACCACAGAGAUAACCAACUAAUGAAUGUAAAAAACAAGUAGAUCAAGCCCUUUUCCUUAACUUACCUAGAACAUAGGCAACUUCAGUGUGUGUGGCUUUAGUGGUCCCUUAACUGCAUACCUACUGUAUAUGAAAUGUGACUGUGUCAUGAUUUUGUUUUUGAGGCCACUUGUAUUUUGCAGUCACGUAAGGAGAUAUAGCGUAAGAUAUUAAAUUAUGCACGUACACAAUUUGUAAAGUGUUUAUUUCCUCUCUGUUAUUACUUUUCCCAGUUGCUAAAGCAGUUGAAGAUGAAUAGCCAUCCAGAUGAGGUGGUCCAAAGUUAAUGCAGUGGAAAAAUACAAAAAUAAGUGGCUACAGCUGUACUAUUCUGCUUUAAGCUGCAGAUCAUUCAAGCCAACAUAAUGGGGCAGCCAAGUAUUGACACUUACUCUAACUGCAAUUUGCAGUUUGUUAAACUUAAAUGUACAUUUUUGUAACGGCAAGGGGUUAAACCGCCGUUUAGUAGAUCUUCCCUUCCAGAGACACAGGCACAGCUACUGCAGAACACCAAUCCGCCGAACCGGAGAAUCAUAUGAAUGCUGUAAACAGCUGAACCGGAACCAUAUGAAUGCUGUAAACAGCCGAAUAGGAAAAACCAUACGAAAGGUUUACACUCCUAGCAGUCGAACUGGAACAGCAUACAAUAAAUCCCCCCCAAGAACGAGACAAAGCUCCGUGUUGAGGGUCAAGCAGUGAACAGACAGAGCUGUGGGUUUAUUGUUCUUAUAUACACAGUAGUACAGCCCACAGGGUUUUGGAACACAACCAAUAAACACAUACAAUACACUCAGACACUCCCACACAAAAUCCUCCCCUCUGCCUGUGAUUCAAUUACCUUACACAAUGGGUAAUGUAAUUAUAACAAGCAGAGAAAUACAAUUUUUACACAUUAUUCAUAACUUGAAAAGUAUGCAUCACAUUCACAUAUAACUUACAUUUUCAGAAUCAGCAUACUCCAAAUACAAACAUACAUCAAAAUCAUACAAAUUGGUCCAGUGGUUCAAAAGAUAGAUCGUAGUCCUUUGUGACCAAAGGAAGCAUGGCUUUUCUGCCCAAAACCAGUUCCACAGAGUCUUCUAUCCUGGAGAUAAUUGGGAAGUAAUCCAAUUAUCUCCAAAGACAGAGGCAAAACUCCAUUGAACACAUGGCAGCAAAAGACAAUAAAACACAUAAAAACAUAACUUUGCAGCCAUUGCACAAAACAGGUACAUUCAACAUAUCCCCAGAUAGCUCAGAUCUGAGCGCACAUUAUUACUGAAUGGCGCUCAGAGCACACACAUACAGUUCAAUUGCCAUGGAGCCAAAGUCUUUCCCAUAGUCUUUCAUUAUACGAAUGGGCUCCAUGGCAUAGCUAUCUGGGGUAUCACCGCUCAAACAGGGCAAGCACCAAAUGACCCGGCUUUCAUGUCUUUGCAGGGGAAAAUCAAGCCUUUUAACAUGGGGCCAUAAUCCAAAGGCAACAGGCGAGCAACCAGGCUUCUCCAAUGCAAUGUGGCGAGAUUGGUCUCGUCACAAUUUUUAUUCACCCUUUUUUCCCUCAAGUCACCCUUUAUUUAAUAGAAAACAAUUUCAAAAAUAAUUUUAAAAAAAGCAUUUGUGUCUUAAUGUGACUUACCGUAAACCAAUGGCAAAUACACAGGGAAGACAGGGAAGGCUUUGCCUCUUAGGUGGACUGGACAUGCACAAAUUUGUUUAUUUUAAAUUCUGUUUGAUGUAGACAUAAAAGGGUUACUCAAACCAAAAACAGUAUUUUCAUAAAACACUGUUUUUGGCUAGGGUAACCCUCACUUUCUUGGUCCGCUGCACCCCUCCCCCGUAUUUUUUUUUUUUAAAGCUGAAACUUACAUGUGUAUGAGCGCUGAGAUAAUGUACUCCCUGCAGCGCAAGCCUCCUAUUUUUCCCCUGUGUCAGGGCAGGCGGUCUAAGUGGAAGACAUGGGUGGCAUGGAGGGGGGAAGGUGUGCCACCAUUGGAUGUCCAAUAUGCACAGAAUUAACAUUAGCCUCCCAGAACUCUUGUUCUGGGAUGACUAAUGACUCCCUAAUACCGCUGCUGGAGAUGGAAUUACACAUCCGGCAGCUGAAGUGAUACUCUGUACAUGCAGAUGUGGUAGACGAGGAAGGAAGACUGCAGUAGUGGUGAAUGUGCCAAUACUCAGUGACGAUAACAUCAAGAAGAAGCAACAUGAGAACGUGAACUAAUAUCAAGGACUAAAAGAGGAGAUAAAAAAAUAUGUGGAAAGGGAAGACAGUAGUACCCUCAGACGUGACAGGAGCACUAGGGGUGUAACCUACACGUUGAGUGAGUAGCUUCAACAGAUUCUAGGUGGGACAUCUGUGAUCUUUGUCCAGAAGAGUGAAAUUCUUGGAACAGGUAAGGUAGUAUGCAGAACCUUCAGAUUCCCAGGCCUCUGGUAGAAGAACCGAGAAUUAGGAAUUUAUUUUUGGUAAUAAAGUGCAAUGGAAGCAAGACCACAAUACAGUGCAAAUAAUGAAAUUUAUUAGGACACUGUAGACACCCUGACUUAAUCUCAAUUAAAUAGUCUAUGUGCAGCACCCCUGAUGUUUUGCUCCCACAAUGUUAUACAUUGCUAUUUUAGAGCUAUGGCAAUGUUUACAUUGCCGGGCUAAACACACCUCUCGUGGUUGUUACACUAAUAGCCACUAGAUGGUGCUUCCGCAAAGACAACUGAGUCCAAUAUGGUUCUUAAAGUUCGACGUCCUCACGUAUUGAAUGUGUGGACAUUGAACAUUCAAUCAAUGCUACUCUAUAAAAAUAAUUUGAUUCGAUGAGAAGUCAAAAAGGUGUCAGCAGGCAUGAAGACAAAACAAGAGGCGGAGAGCUUGGCUGCAAGGGCUGGAUCUCGGUGCUAAAUAGAAGGAGAGAAAAUGGUUAUUUACUGUACAUUUUUCAACAUUAAAUGGGGGCAGGAGUUACAAAAGCUCCAAUAAGAGAACUCUCUCCUUUGCCAACCCAUGUGCUCUGUACCGGCUAAUUGGUGCAAUCACAGGUCCAUCCACAGGCUUCUUAUAUUAUAUUGGAAAGGUGCCCCCUCUCAAAAGGGUUAUAGUAACCCUUUAAAGUACCUACUAUAUGAGCUCUCAAUGCAGAGGCAUUCGGGCAUGCUGUACCAGUAUCCUUGAAGUUCCCAUGGAACACUGAUCCAAUGUGUUCAGCCAUUUCUCUGUUAUUCUAUUUAUGUUGCAUGUCGCGAACAACAGACAGUACCUCAUACCCUCUAACUGACAUUUAGUUCCUUCUUACCAGACUCCCGAAUUUUAAACAUUCCCGAUUGAAACACAGGCCCCCUAAUGACAUUUAAACUCUUCUUUUAAAAGAAAAAGACCAUCCCCUUCAAGAUAUCUAACCCCUUCCAUAGCAGAGAGGCCUGCUCCUAGAUCAUAUUUAGACAUGACUUCUCUUGCAGGCAUUUAAAAGUUUUUUUCUGCCAUACAAACUGGAGACUUAAUUGACCUUUAUCUCAUUCUUGAAUAACCUUUAACUCCUUUUUCUACCCUAUAUGGGGUGGUUGCAAACUCCUAAAUGUUGCAAAGUUUAUUGGAGAACAGAUCUUUAUCAUUGCUCUUUGUUGACAGACACAAGCUUGUGUUACAAAUUGUACAGGUUUGUUUAUUUAAUUGGGCACCAGCAAUUCUGCCUUGUCUAAACUGGAUUAUGAUGUCAUUAACUAAAUGUUUAAUAUACAUUUUUUAAAGAAAAGUGUACAUCUCAUGAAAAAAAUGUUAAAACAAACUAGAGGGGAUUUUUCUUUAUUUAAUUAUGUAAAAGCCAGAGAAGUAACAUUUCCCCUUUAAAUCCAACACUCGUAAACCUUUUGAUUAUUAUUAUUUUUCACCCAUUUUUCUUAUUACUUGAGAUCUGGUUUGUAAGUUUGUAUUUUUCAUUCUUAAAGGGACAGUUUAGGCAAGAUAAAAACUUCAUGUAAAUGAAGUUGUUAUGAUGCCAGGAGGCUCUAGGGCACACUAUUACCUUGAGGGUUUAACCCCUUAAGGACACAUGACAUGUGUGACAUGUCAUGAUUCCCUUUUAUUCCAGAAGUUUGGUCCUUAAGGGGUUAAACUGUUCUCAAACGGGUUAACGCCAAAUUGAGUUUCCGGCGCAGCAUCUGGCUUCUGAAAUUUCAGUUUUGGGAAUUAUGUAGGAAAAUAAAGUUUCUUUCAAACCAGUUUUAUGAAUGGGGGGUCACUGAUUGGCUGAGAUUGUCAGCUGACUGCUCUCAGCUUAUCAGUGGCACUUCAUGCUUCCUAAAACUGAGAUUUCAGAAGCCGGAUGCCGCCUGUGUGACCUGAGAUAUGAUGCUGGAGGCUCACUUUGGGGUAAAACCAUUCAAGAUUAGAGAUUAGAGUGCAUAUGGGGGCCUCCUGGCACCAUAACAACUUAAUCUAGAUGAAGUUGUUAUGGUGCCCAUAGUGCCCCUUUAAUCAUACAGAAGUAAAUACUGUUGUUUUGUGACAUUUCCAGUGUUUCUUUUUCAGGAGCAUGGGGUCAGAAAGAUGCAAAUAUGAAUGUGGUAGAAGCUGAAGAGGGGGAUGUCGCCAGCAUUCCCUGCACAGCUUACAGAGCUGAGCAAUCCAGUAACAUCUCUGUUCAAUGGCUAUAUG